rfam:Medicago truncatula strain A17 chromosome 1, whole genome shotgun sequence.
GUUUUUUUUUUUCGUCGGUAGUUAACUGCAGCCGGUUCCAAACUUCGGUAGUUAACUGCCGCAGGGGCAA